UACAGAGGUCUCAAGCGUUGUUCGGAUUCAUUGGGCGUAAAGGGUGCGUAGGCGGCGCGGUAAGUCGGGUGUGAAAUUUCGGAGCUUAACUCCGAAACUGCAUUCGAUACUGGCGUGCUUGAGGACUGGAGAGGAGACUGGAAUUCAUGGUGUAGCAGUGAAAUGCGUAGAGAUCAUGAGGAAGACCAGUGGCGAAGGCGGGUCUCUGGACAGUUCCUGACACUGAGACACGAAGGCCAGGGGAGCAAACGGG
rnacentral:rRNA from 1 species